AUCCUUUUGUAGCGCAUGAGUGUGAUGAUUGGGUGUUCACGGGCAUAUGUGAGAUGUGCCACCCUUGAACCUUGUUACAAUAUGUUGGCACAUUACCCUUCUGACA
ensembl:snoRNA